AAGUCGUAACAAGGUUUCCGUAGGUGAACCUGCGGAAGGAUCAUUAUUGAAUUUCAUAAACUGGCUUUCCUUCUAGUGCUGGCGCUUUACCGCGCAAGUGCACAUUUAGGGAGUCUUUUUAUUAAUCCAAUCUACACCUGUGAACUAUGAGAGUGUAGCCUUUUUCGAGAGGCAUGACUCUUCUUUUUUUUACUACAAACACUAUAUAUAUCAAACAGAAAUCAAACAUUAUAAUAAAUAAUACAACUUUCAACAACGGAUCUCUUGGCUCUC
rnacentral:misc_RNA from 1 species